UACAGAGGGUGCAAGCGUUAAUCGGAUUUACUGGGCGUAAAGGGCGCGUAGGUGGUUGUUUAAGUGAGAUGUGAAAGCCCCGGGCUCAACCUGGGAACUGCAUCUUAUACUGGGCAACUGGAGUACAUGAGAGGGUAGUGGAAUUUCCGGUGUAGCGGUGAAAUGCGUAGAUAUCGGGAGGAACACCAGUGGCGAAGGCGGCCUUCUGGACCAGUACUGACGCUCAUGCACGAAAGCGUGGGGAGCAAACAGG
rnacentral:rRNA from 1 species